GAUGAACGCUGGCGGCGUGCCUAAUACAUGCAAGUCGAGCGAACAGACGAGGAGCUUGCUCCUCUUACGUUAGCGGCGGACGGGUGAGUAACACGUGGAUAACCUACCUAUAAGACUGGGAUAACUUCGGGAAACCGGAGCUAAUACCGGAUAAUAUAUUGAACCGCAUGGUUCAAUAGUGAAAGACGGUUUUGCUGUCACUUAUAGAUGGAUCCUCGCCGCAUUAGCUAGUUGGUAAGGUAACGGCUUACCAAGGCAACGAUGCGUAGCCGACCUGAGAGGGUGAUCGGCCACACUGGAACUGAGACACGGUCCAGACUCCUACGGGAGGCAGCAGUAGGGAAUAUUGCGCAAUGGGCGAAAGCCUGACGGAGCAACGCCGCGUGAGUGAUGAAGGUCUUCGGAUCGUAAAACUCUGUUAUUAGGGAAGAACAAAUGUGUAAGUAAAUAUGCACGUCUUGACGGUACCUACUCAGAAAGCAACGGCUAACUACGUG
rnacentral:rRNA from 1 species